GGCGUGCCUUUUGUAGAAUGAACCGGCGAGUUACGGAAAGAUGCGAGGUUAAGUCGGAAAGGACGGAGCCGCAGCGAAAGCGAGUCUGAAGAGGGCGAGAGUAGACUUCCGUAGACCCGAAACCGGGUGAUCUAGCCAUGAGCAGGUUGAAGUUGAGGUGAAACUCAAUGGAGGACCGAACCGACCACCGUUGAAAAGUUGGCGGAUGACUUGUGGCUAGCGGAGAAAUUCCAAUCGAACCCGGAGAUAGCUGGUUCUCCCCGAAAUAGCUUUAGGGCUAGCGUCGGAAUGAACCCAUGUGAAGGUAGAGCACUGAAUGUGUGAUGGCCCCAUCCCGGGGUACUGAAUACAAUCAAACUCCGAAUGUCAUGUGGGAUGUCCGGCAGUCAGACUGUGAGUGAUAAGGUCCAUGGUCGAGAGGGAAACAGCCCAGACCGCCAGUUAAGGUCCCAAAAUGCAGGCUAAGUGGAAAAGGAUGUGGGGAUGCCCAGACAACUAGGAGGUUGGCUCAGAAGCAGCCACCCUUUAAAGAGUGCGUAACAGCUCACUAGUCGAGUGACCCUGCGCCGAAAAUGUACCGGGGCUAAGCCUGAUACCGAAACUGCGGAAUCGAAUGAUUGGUAGGGGAGCGUUGUAUACGGGUGGAAGCCGUACCGUGAGGAGCGGUGGACUGUAUAGAAGUGAGAAUGCCGGUGUGAGUAGCGAGAUGUAGGUGAGAAUCCUACACACCGAAAGCCCAAGGAUUCCAGGGGAAGGUUCGUCCGCCCUGGGUAAGUCGGGACCUAACGCGAGGCCGAAAGGCGUAGUGGAUGGAAAGCAGGCGGAGAUUCCUGCACCCGUAUGUGGAGCGAUGGAGUGACGGAGACGGCUAAUGUGACCCUCUUAACGGAUUGAGGGCGAAGCGGGGUAGCGGUCGACCAGGCAAAUCCGGUCGGCAAAACGCGAAGACGUGACAGGGAAGCGAACGCUUUGGCAAGUAGCGAAGCACAUGAGGCCGGCUUCCAAGAAAAGCUUCUGGCAAUGCACAUGCGGCCCGUACCACAAACCGACACAGGUGGGCAGGUAGAGGAUACCAAGGUGAGCGAGAGAACUGUUGCCAAGGAACUCGGCAAAAUGGCUCCGUACGUUCGCAAGAAGGAGCGCUUAUGAAAAUAAGCCGCAGUGAAUAGGCCCAAGCGACUGUUUAACUAAAACACAGCUCUCUGCGAAGUCGCAAGACGAAGUAUAGGGGGUGACACCUGCCCGGUGCCGGAAGGUUAAGAGGAUCUGUCAAUCGCAAGAUGAAGCAGUGAGUUGAAGCCCCGGUGAACGGCGGCCGUAACUAUAACGGUCCUAAGGUAGCGAAAUUCCUUGUCAGGUAAGUUCUGACCCGCACGAAAGGUGUAACGAUUUGGGCGCUGUCUCGGCAGCAGGCUCGGUGAAAUCUUAGUACCUGUGAAAAUGCAGGUUACCCGCAACUAGACGGAGAGACCCCAUGGAGCUUUACUGUAGCCUGGUAUUGGAUUUUGGUCAGACAUGUACAGGAUAGGUGGGAGACUGUGAGACGUGCACGCCAGUGUACGAGGAGUCGUCGUUGGGAUACCACUCUUGUGUGAUCGGAGUUCUAACCUGGGGCUCUGAACCGGCCAUAGGGAGAGUGCCAGGUGGGCAGUUUGACUGGGGCGGUCGCCUCCCAAAGAGUAACGGAGGCGCCCAAAGGUACGCUCAGAUUGGAUGGAAACCAAUCGCCGAGUGCAAAUGCAGAAGCGUGCUUGACUGUGAGAGCAACAACUCGAACAGGGACGAAAGUCGGGAUUAGUGAUCCGG
rnacentral:rRNA from 1 species